AGAGUUUGAUCAUGGCUCAGAUUGAACGCUGGCGGCAGGCUUAACACAUGCAAGUCGAACGGUAACAGAGAAUAGCUUGCUAUUUUGUUGACGAGUGGCGGACGGGUGAGUAAUGCUUGGGAAUUUGCCGAAAGGUGGGGGACAACAGUUGGAAACGACUGCUAAUACCGCAUAAUGUCUACGGACCAAAGGUGGCCUCUAUUUAUAUGCUAUCGCCUUUCGAUGAGCCCAAGUGGGAUUAGCUAGUUGGUAAGGUAAUGGCUUACCAAGGCUUCGAUCCCUAGCUGGUCUUAGAGGAUGACCAGCCACACUGGAACUGAGACACGGUCCAGACUCCUACGGGAGGCAGCAGUGGGGAAUAUUGCACAAUGGAGGAAACUCUGAUGCAGCCAUGCCGCGUGUGUGAAGAAGGCUUUCGGGUUGUAAAGCACUUUCAGCGAGGAGGAAAGGGUAGUACUUAAUACGUACUAUCUAUGACGUUACUCGCAGAAGAAGCACCGGCUAACUCCGUGCCAGCAGCCGCGGUAAUACGGAGGGUGCGAGCGUUAAUCGGAAUUACUGGGCGUAAAGCGCGCGUAGGUGGUUAAUUAAGUCAGAUGUGAAAGCCCAGGGCUCAACCUUGGAACUGCAUUUGAAACUGAUUGACUAGAGUUUUGUAGAGGGUGGUAGAAUUUCAGGUGUAGCGGUGAAAUGCGUAGAGAUCUGAAGGAAUACCAGUGGCGAAGGCGGCCACCUGGACAAAGACUGACACUGAGGCGCGAAGGCGUGGGGAGCAAACGGGAUUAGAUACCCCGGUAGUCCACGCAGUAAACGAUGUCUAUUAGAAGUUUGUGGCUAUAUGCCGUGGGUUUCAAAGCUAACGCAUUAAAUAGACCGCCUGGGGAGUACGGCCGCAAGGUUAAAACUCAAAUGAAUUGACGGGGGCCCGCACAAGCGGUGGAGCAUGUGGUUUAAUUCGAUGCAACGCGAAGAACCUUACCAUCCCUUGAUAUCCAGAGAAUCACCUAGAGAUAGAUGAGUGCCUUCGGGAACUCUGAGACAGGUGCUGCAUGGCUGUCGUCAGCUCGUGUUGUGAAAUGUUGGGUUAAGUCCCGCAACGAGCGCAACCCUUAUCCUUAGUUGCCAGCACGUAAUGGUGGGAACUCUAGGGAGACUGCCGGUGAUAAACCGGAGGAAGGUGGGGACGACGUCAAGUCAUCAUGGCCCUUACGGGAUGGGCUACACACGUGCUACAAUGGCAAAUACAAAGGGUUGCUCAC
rnacentral:rRNA from 1 species